CGCUGAAAGCGAAUGACAGAGCAUAAUGACGCUCAUCUUGCGUCUCUUUAAUUGGCAUCUCGCAAUAAUUUUGCGCAAAGAUUUCCGAAAAAGACGACAAGUUCGAUUACUUCUACUACUACUACUUGGGAGAAAGCUGUGUGGCUACUUAGACGCUUGGUCGUCGUGUGUGACCCACUCUAGCUGUGAAGAUAAUCAGAUAAUUAAUUGGCAGCUGGAUUCGACGAUAAACAAGCCCCGAAAAUUGUCUCCAGUGCCAUACAUAUGUAUGUAUGUUUCUGUUGGCCAUUGCUGAGGUAUUCAGUGUGGAUCGAUCCAAAUCGAUAUUGAAAGAUAUUGAGGCCAAGCUAAAGAUUUUUUACACUAGGAACUGGUUGGAGUUCCAGCGAAUUGAGCCUAAAUUCAUUAUGUUGCCUCGUAAACAAUUUGACUUGGUCGUGAAUGCCUAUUUUCAUCAGGCCAAGCGUGUGGAGGAGGAAUAUGUAUCGCCGUUCAAAAAUAGACCACUACAACCAUGUCCAAAGGAAUGACUUGUCUUUCCUGCUGGCUAUAAUCUAAGCGCCUUACGAGUUAUGAAUGAUCCCAACCACUAGGCCAUUCGCAAAGGCGUUCGUACUGGGGAUACUACCAUUUAUUAUUACAAAAAGUACAUACAAACAUAAUAUUUGUAAGUUUUCAUUUUCAAUAAAGGCUGAAAGACCGA